UUUUCUUAAUUUUCAUUUAUAUAUGACGUCACAUCACAUCAUCCAUCGACAUUCGUAAAAACCAAACACAUAAAGAAAAAUGAAAAAAGUAAACAUAAAAUUUCAAUUAGAAUCUCCCUCUCUGGGGCGGGGCUUCAGUUCAAGAAGUAGGCAACGAAGGAAACAAGUGAGGCACCGACGAGGGAUCCGAGGGAGGGGAGAGCGGCGGAGGCGGCGCUGCUCGGCCCCGGCGCAGCGGCAGGAGAGAGAGACUCAUCGGCAGCAACGGCGGCGCUGAGGGUGGCGGCGGCGAAGAGGGCGGCGCAAGCGAAGUUCUUCAUUUCCAUGGCGGAUGAGAUUGAAUUGGCUUUCUUCGGCAGAAA
rnacentral:misc_RNA from 1 species